AUUGAACGCUGGCGGCAGGCCUAACACAUGCAAGUCGAGCGGUUGAAGGGAGCUUGUUCCUGGAUCCAGCGGCGGACGGGUGCGUAAUGCCUAGGAAUCUGCCUGGUAGUGGGGGAUAACGUCCGGAAACGGGCGCUAAUACCGCAUACGUCCUGAGGGAGAAAGUGGGGGAUCUUCGGACCCCACGCUAUCAGAUGAGCCUAGGUCGGAUUAGCUAGUUGGUGGGGUAAAGGCCUACCAAGGCGACGAUCCGUAACUGGUCUGAGAGGAUGAGCAGUCACACUGGAACUGAGACACGGUCCAGACUCCUACGGGAGGCAGCAGUGGGGAAUAUUGGACAAUGGGCGAAAGCCUGAUCCAGCCAUGCCGCGUGUGUGAAGAAGGUCUUCGGAUUGUAAAGCACUUUAAGUUGGGAGGAAGGGCAGUAAGUUAAUACCUUGCUGUAUUGACGUUACCAACAGAAUAAGCACCGGCUAACUUCGUG
rnacentral:rRNA from 1 species